AGCAGCCGCGGUAAUUCCAGCUCCAAUAGCGUAUAUUAAAGUUGUUGCAGUUAAAAAGCUCGUAGUUGAAUUUCGGGGCCAGUAGGUUGGUCGUGCCACUGGUAUGCACUGGCCUUACUGGUCCCUCCCUCUUGUAGAACCGUGAUGCCAUUAAUUUGGUGUUGCGGGGAAACAGGACUGUUACUUUGAAAAAUUAGAGUGCUUAAAGCAGGCUCGCGCUUGAAUACAUUAGCAUGGAAUAACGGAAUAGGACGAUCGAACCUAUUUUGUUGGUUUCUAGGAUCGACGUAAUGAUUAAUAGGGAUAGUUGGGGGCAUUAGUAUUCAAUUGUCAGAGGUGAAAUUCUUGGAUUUAUUGAAGACUAACUACUGCGAAAGCAUUUGCCAAGGAUGUUUUCAUUAAUCAAGAACGAAAGUUAGGGGAUCGAAGACGAUCAGAUACCGUCGUAGUCUUAACCAUAAACUAUGCCGACUAGGGAUCGGAUGAAGUUAAUUUUUAAUGUACUCAUUCGGCGCCUUAC
rnacentral:rRNA from 1 species